AUUUACUAAUACAAAGAUACGGGUUGGAUUUAUAAAUUACAUAGAAUCACCAACUUUCAAGUAUAAUGAGAUGGACGAAUUAUAAACAUUAUCAAACAAGUAAAAGCGAGUCGCUAACAAAGAGCAAUCAAAAUCCACUGUCACAAAUAGCAACAUGAAAGUGCAUAGUUUCAAAGCUUCGGAGUUUGUUCAAAAUUAUAAUAUUUUUAAUUCACAUACUAUUAUACUAAUAAAAGCUCGAACAUAUUUGUUGUCCCUACAGUCAAAUAUUUAAUUUCAUAUUCUUCUUAAAAUGCAUCAAAAUCCAUACAUUGUAAGUAUAAUGAAGAACAUAACUAUUAGUAUUAGAAUUUCUUAAGCAUUCAGCUGAUUCACUAAUAAUAAUAAUAAUAAAGCCUAUACAUAUAGAAGAAUACAAUCAUCAUACAGCCAAAAUCAGUGCAUUACAAGUAAUAAGUUAUAAAAGGCACAAUUACCUCUUUAGUUGCAGAUGAGUAGUUUCUCAAAGUGGAUACCACAGGGCGAAGUCUCUGGAUUAGAAACGCGUUCACAAGGAACAAUAGUCAGCAGUAAAAAAAAAAAAGGGCCAAAAUGAAUACUAUUUAGGCAUACUGAAAUAGAACCUCCUCCUGCAGCCACUUUCUACCUAAUAAACAUUAGCAAACAGAUAAAAGCGAGUCGCUAACAAAGAGCAAUCAAAAUCCACUGUCACGAAUAGCAACAUGAAAGUGCAUAGUUUCAAAGCUUCGGAGUUUGUUCAAAUUAUAAUAUUUUUAAUUCACAUACUAUUAUACUAAUAAAAGCUCGAACAUAUUUGUUGUCCCUACAGUCAAAUAUUUAAUUUCAUAUUCUUCUUAAACUGCAUCAAAAUCCAUACAUUGUAAGUAUAAUGAAGAACAUAACUAUUAGUAUUAGAAUUUCUUAAGCAUUCAGCUGAUUCACUAAUAAUAAUAAUAAAAGCCUAUACAUAUAGAAGAAUACAAUCAUCAUACAG
rnacentral:lncRNA from 1 species